ensembl:lncRNA
GUUCAGUGCCUGCAGGCCAACUUUUGCACUGAUGUACAUCCUGUGAAAUCCCACUGAAUGGAGUGAUACAGACCAUCAGGCAGCACUGCAGUCAUCCCCUAGGAUUCAGUCUGGCUCCAAGUAAAUGUCACCUGGAGAAGCUACUAAGUCCCGUGGGUUAGCGUAAUUCCACUCAGAAUUUACUCCUGCUUUAUGAUGGAAAAGGGAAGCUGCUGAGACUAAGGCUGACUACUCCUGAUCUCGUUAGAGUUCCAUGACCCGAGGGAUUGAAUCCUAUGUGUCUUCUCACAGAACAGCCAUCAGAACACAGGGGAAGAAAAACAAAGGAAGCAAACAAAAACAGAGAAGAAAAGCCAUGGCAAAGCCAGGUGCCCUUGUGGAGAAGUCCUCUGACAGGAUGAAUCAUGAUCUGGGAGAAUUAAUAGCUGUAGACGGCGUCAGAUUGAAGGGAAAAGGGAUUAAACCCCUGAGCCCUCCCAGCUGCAUAUUCAACACUUUUUCUUCUGAAGUACCAAAAUACUCAAGUUGUAUUUUCUUCCUCAGCCUGCAGAGAAAAUAAGGCAAUGGAAAAGGAGCCCAGAAAACAAUUUGUUUAUUAUAAGCAGGUCAGUCCUCCGGGGAAUUCGUGGAAUCAUGCAGUGGGAGAGGACAAUCACGGCACUGAAAUGGUGGGUAAUUUUAUUUGUUCCACUUGAUGGUCACAGUGGCAUCAUGCUGGCCAAUUACUCUUGAGUCAGCAGGUUUCAGAGGUUAAGACCCCCUUGUGGGUUGCAGCACUGCAGGCAAAGUAUUCAGGCCAGAUUGAAACCGUUUCAACAGCAGAGACGCCAGCCUUCUUCUCCCUUGGAGCUCUCCUUUUUCAACUGUGUACGAGACACACAUGUGAUAAAAUAGGCAUGUCUCUAACAUCGAGACGGCUUAAUUAUUGAGAGUGGAAAAAAUGCCAGCCUCAGAUAAAGAAAGGAAGAAAAUCAGCCAGAGAGACAGACUACACCGAGGAGGCAUGAAACGAACAAAUACUGCAAAUUCAACUGCAGGUUCCAAAGGAAAGAUCAUGUCUGGGAAUAAUCCUGGUGCCAAUAGGCUGCUAGUGUUUCAAGACUGCAGAACCUUCAGCAAUUUCAUCACAUUUUUCUCAAGUGAAAAUGUUUUAAGCUACUUCUUCGGUGAUCUGCAAUUCUAAGGGGAAAAACAGGAGCAGAGCAUUUGCUUUACCACUAGAGCCUGCCACAAGCGAUUGGGCAGAGGCGGAUGUGAAAUCCAAGCUAGCAGAAAUAACGUGUGUGAGUGUGUGUGUGAG